UUUAGGAGAGAGAAUAGUUGACAUAUAAAAAUGACAAAUUCAUUCACGGCGGUCGUCUUCUUUGGUCUUAUCUAUGCGUCUCUUGUAUCAGUGGCUUGCUCGCAAUCCAUUGCUCCGGCCCCUGCUCCCACAAGUGAUGGCACAUCUAUUGACCAAGCAGUAGCAUAUGUUCUAAUGUUGUUGGCCUUGGUUCUCACUUACAUCAUGCAUUAAGGCAUGAAACAUUGGACUAUUAUUCAAGGACAUGUAAAAUGUAAUAGGAGGAAGGAAUAUGUUUUAAUUCGACUAUUGCGAAUUUGAAUAAAUCUCAUUUCUCUUUGGAUA